UUUGGGCCCACAGAUAUCACGGACCCUGAUCCCGCCGUGUACCAACUGAAAAGCCCUAAAUCCAGUAAGACGUCUGUCUGCCUGUUCACCGAUUUUGAUUCUGAAAAAAAAAUGCCACAAUCCCAGGAGGGCACAGUAAUCAUGUCGAAUGGAACUGUGCUGGACAUGAGGGUGAUGGAUUCCAAGAGCAACGGGGUCCUGGCCUGGAGCAACAGCACGGAUUUUAAAUGCAACAGUACCUUCAACGAGAAAUUCUACUCCAGCUCAGACUUUUCCUGUAAUGCCACUUUGAUAGAGAAAAGCUUUGAAACAGAUAUGAACCUAAACGCCCACAACCUGCUAGUGAUGGGGCUGCGCGUCCUCCUCCUGAAAGUGGCCGGGUUUAACCUGUUCGUGACGCUGCGCCUGUGGUCCCGAUGAGGUCACCAGGACCGUGAGCAAGCCUGGCACUCCCUCGCUCCCGCCGCCCCGCCGCCCCACCGUGCCUCUUCCCCUCUUCAAGCAGAGGCACACUCUCAGCCCCCGUGGAGGAGAAGGCUCCCUCGGCCUCUCGGCCUCUCGGGCCCCACUGGCAACGGACACCAACCCACCAACCGGAUGCCACCAGAUAUUCGUUAUCAAGAUCUGAAGAGCCGCCAAACACUGUCUCCACCGCCUCGGUCCCUCACUGCCGGCACUCCCAGCAAAGGCAGGGGGCUGCUGGACGCCCUGCCCCUCCCCUGAGAUUGCCUCUUGCGCCUCCCCCCCAUGAGGGAUCCCCAGUGGGUCUUCCUGGGCUCUGGCUCCUGGAGAACGUUGUGAAGAGUUUAUAUUUUUUAAGUAGUGUUCAUACAGGCAUAUGUACCACCCUUCCCCCCAAGAUGUGGGCAAAUGAUUACGGAGGCCCCGCUAUGCUGUGUAUCUGAGCCCCGUUGUGUAUUCUGCUACCCGUGGCUUCAUUAAAGGCAAUUUGGAAGAGCCGG